UACUGGGCGUAAAGCGCAUGCAGGUGGUUUGUUAAGUCAGAUGUGAAAGCCCGGGGCUCAACCUCGGAAUUGCAUUUGAAACUGGCAGACUAGAGUACUGUAGAGGGGGGGUAGAAUUUCAGGUGUAGCGGUGAAAUGCGUAGAGAUCUGAAGGAAUACCGGUGGCGAAGGCGGCCCCCUGGACAGAUACUGACACUCAGAUGCGAAAGCGUGGGGAGCAAACAGGAUUAGA
rnacentral:rRNA from 1 species